rnacentral:rRNA from 1 species
CCUACGGGAGGCAGCAGUAGGGAAUCUUUCACAAUGGGCGAACGCCUGAUGGAGCAACGCCGCGUGCAGGAUGAAGGCCUUCUGGUUGUAAACUGCUUUUAUAAGCGAGAAAUAUGAUGGUAACUUAUGAAUAAGGAUCGGCUAACUACGUGCCAGCAGCGGCGGUCAUACGUAGGAUCCGAGCAUUAUCCGGAGUGACUGGGUGUAAAGAGUUGCGUAGGUGGCAUAAUAAGUAGCUAGUGAAAUCUGGUGGCUCAACCAUUCAGACUAUUAGCGAAACUGUUAAGCUCGAGACCGUUAGGGGUAACUGGAAUUUCUAGUGUAGGAGUGAAAUCCGUAGAUAUUAGAAGGAACACCAAUAGCGUAGGCAGGUUACUGGGACGGUUCUGACACUAAGGCACGAAAGCGUAGGGAGCAAACGGGAUUAGAUACCCUAGUAGUC